rnacentral:tRNA from 1 species
GGCCCCGUAGUCUAGUGGAUUACGACGGCGGCCUCUCAAGCCGCAGAUGCUCGGUUCAAUUCCGGCCGGGGUCA